rnacentral:rRNA from 1 species
AUUGAACGCUGGCGGCAUGCUUUACACAUGCAAGUCGAACGGUAACAGGCCUUCGGGUGCUGACGAGUGGCGAACGGGUGAGUAAUGCAUCGGAACGUGCCCAGAGGUGGGGGAUAACGCAGCGAAAGCUGUGCUAAUACCGCAUGUGAUCUGAGGAUGAAAGCGGGGGACCAGGCAGCAAUGUUUGGCCUCGCGCCUUUGGAGCGGCCGAUGUCAGAUUAGGUAGUUGGUGGGGUAAAGGCCUACCAAGCCGACGAUCUGUAGCUGGUCUGAGAGGACGACCAGCCACACUGGGACUGAGACACGGCCCAGACUCCUACGGGAGGCAGCAGUGGGGAAUUUUGGACAAUGGGCGCAAGCCUGAUCCAGCAAUGCCGCGUGCGGGAAGAAGGCCUUCGGGUUGUAAACCGCUUUUGUACAGAACGAAAAGGCUCUGGCUAAUACCUGGGGCUGAUGACGGUACCGUAAGAAUAAGCACCGGCUAACUACGUG